rnacentral:rRNA from 1 species
AUUGAACGCUGGCGGCAGGCCUAACACAUGCAAGUCGAGCGGCAGCGGGAAAGUAGCUUGCUACUUUUGCCGGCAAGCGGCGGACGGGUGAGUAAUGCCUGGGAAAUUGCCCAGUCGAGGGGGAUAACAGUUGGAAACGACUGCUAAUACCGCAUGCGCCCUACGGGGGAAAGCAGGGGACCUUCGGGCCUUGCGCGAUUGGAUAUGCCCAGGUGGGAUUAGCUAGUUGGUGAGGUAAUGGCUCACCAAGGCGACGAUCCCUAGCUGGUCUGGGAGGAGGAUCAGCCACACUGGAACUGAGACACGGUCCAGACUCCUACGGGAGGCAGCAGUGGGGAAUAUUGCACAAUGGGGGAAACCCUGAUGCAGCCAUGCCGCGUGUGUGAAGAAGGCCUUCGGGUUGUAAAGCACUUUCAGCGAGGAGGAAAGGUCAGUAGCUAAUACCUGCUGACUGUGACGUUACUCGCAGAAGAAGCACCGGCUAACUCCGUGCCAGCCGCCGCCGUAAGAC